GAUGAACGCUGGCGGCGUGCCUAAUACAUGCAAGUCGAACGAACGGACGAUAAGCUUGCUUUUCUUAUGUUAGCGGCGCGCGUGUGAGUAACACGUGUAUAACCUACCUAUAAGACUGGGAUAACUUCGGGAAACCGGAGCUAAUACCGGAUAAUAUUUUGAACCGCAUGGUUCAAAAGUGAAAGACGGUCUUGCGGUCACUUAUAGAUGGAUCCGCGCUGCAUUAGCUAGUUGGUAAGGUAACGGCUUACCAAGGCAACGAUGCAUAGCCGACCGGAGGGGGGGUUGGCCCACACAGGAACUGAGCCACGGCACGGACACUUAGGGGAGGCAGCGGCAGGUACUCUUGCCAACUGGGGGAAAGCUUGACCAAGCAACGCCGCGUGGGUGAUGAAGGUCUUCGGAUGGUAAAACUCUGUUCUUGGGGAAAAACAGAUGUGCCUGUAACUGUGCGUAUCUGACGGUAACGGAAGAAGAAGGACCGGCUAACUACCGG
rnacentral:rRNA from 1 species